AAUUCUGGAAUGUCUUUAUAGUCUCCUUUAUCCUAGUUCUGAAUGACAACACAUUUUUUAAAAUUCAUGUUUCUAACUUUGUUCAAUUUGAAAUUAAUUAUACUUGUAAUUUUUGGACUGGAAUUGAAUUGAAUUAUAUUGAUCCAAAAUUUUUUCUCAGAAGAAUGUAAUUUCAUUUCUCUGAACUUCAAACAUGAGUUAUUUUCCAUAAUGAUAGUAAAAAAUUGAAGAAUAGAUGGCACUAUCAGAAUAAAUGCAUGUAGAUAAAAUAAUCAAUAGCUCAUAUAAAAAUGCUUUGCUCACUUUUUUAAUCCUUUGGCAUUGCCUAAAAGAACUAAAGGUUUCUCUUUCAACACUAGUCUAGUCAGUUCACCUGGCCCAAAUGGCUGUAGAAACCAGGUCCUUCCCCGUCCUGCUGGGUUACUGGAGGGUUGGGUUGGAUGUACAGCCCGACUGGUUUUCACAUCUCCUCUUUUGUCCUCCAUGGUGGGUAAUACCACCACGGGGAUAAGUGUGCAUUGCUCAAGGGUGCUGUUAGAAGACAUGACUUCAGUGUACCCUUCUUCACAAUGGCAUGUUUUUGUCUGCAGGAGAACAAGAAGAUUUAUACUAGCCAUGCAAGGAAUCUUUGGAAGUCUAACAGACCUGACUUGAAGAGAAGGCUUUAAACAAGAAAUUCUUCAUUCUGGAACAGUGAUUCUUAAAGUGCGGUUCAGAGACCCUGGGAGACACUGACAUUCUUUCAG
ensembl:lncRNA novel transcript, antisense to THSD7A